GACGAACGCUGGCGGCGUGCCUAAUACAUGCAAGUCGAGCGAAGUUUUUCUGGUGCUUGCACCGGAAAAACUUAGCGGCGAACGGGUGAGUAACACGUAAAGAACCUGCCUCAUAGACUGGGACAACUAUUGGAAACGAUAGCUCAUACCGGAUAACAGCAUUAACUGCAUGGGUGAGGUUUAAAAGUUGGUUUUGCUAACACUAUGAGAUGGCUUUGCGGUGCAUUAGCUAGUUGGUGGGGUAAAGGCCUACCAAGGCGACGAUGCAUAGCCGACCUGAGAGGGUGAUAGGCCACACUGGGACUGAGACACGGCCCAGACUCCUACGGGAGGCAGCAGUAGGGAAUCUUCCGCAAUGGGCGAAAGCCUGACGGAGCAACGCCGCGUGAGUGAAGAAGGAUUUCGGUUCGUAAAGCUCUGUUGUUAGGGAAGAAUGAUUGUGUAGUAACUAUACACAGUAGAGACGGUACCUAACCAGAAAGCCACGGCUAACUACGUG
rnacentral:rRNA from 1 species